UCGAUGUCUAUGAAGAACCCUCCAUUAGGGUCAUUAGCAACCUCUGCAACAUUUAUUAAGCAAACAUGAGUACGGAGGUACUCAACAAGACUUUAGGAUAACUAUCUACUCAUGCAAUGUGUCAAUAAGGUAUUGUGGGGUUUCAUGAGGAAAGCCAGCAUUUGACUCAUGGCUAGACAACUUGCAUUUUUCAAUAAUUUUGACAACUUGAUUUCUCGCACUCGAGUCCACUAACACCACAACAAUACUCCAUCGUGGAAUCAUUCCGUCUCCAUACGGAAAUGCCGUCCACGACACUCACGCUUAUCUUGACAAUUUUAUGAGUAG
rnacentral:lncRNA from 1 species